CUAAACCCUUUUUUCUUGAUGCUGUUUGCUUGUUUUUUGCAGGAGGAAACCUCACAGGAGCAAUAUUUAAUCCAGCAUUGGCCUUUUCAUUACAUGCAAGAUGUUUCCAUGAAAAAUUCUGGGAGUAUUCACUAGUGUAUUGGAUAGCACCCCUUUUAGGCACAGUAUUUGUGGCCAUUGUAUGGGGUGAAAUCCUUCAUCUGAUAUUUUGAAAGACUUUAAAGUAUGAGCACUGGAAACACAUUAAAAAGAAACUCUCAGAAAGAAAAGUGAAUUGCAGCCAUGCAAUAUGUAGAUAGAAGACAGUGGAUACCAGGCAUUCAGGAUACUAGUCACCUUUGUUUCCUUUAUUUAUAGCCUUCUAAAAUGUAUUUUCAGACAUUUUGUUCUGACAUAUACUCCAUAGGAGGACUCUAAAUUGUGAUGAUGGGAAGAAAGAAUAACAUUGUCGGCCAUUUCACAUCUAAGCUGUAUAUAUAUGAAGAAAAGAAAAGUAACAUUGCGAAUGAAUUUGUCACCUUAAGUUUAACCCUAAGUGCUACUUGCAGAUAUUUCAUACAGAGUUCUGUAAAACUUCUGCAGGUAACCUGUGUAUGUCUGCCAAACUGGUCUGAUUAGGUCUUUCUACAUAAAAAUAGCCACAACAGGGGUGGUAAGUUCUGAAAAUUUAAUUUUCAGGUAGCCUCUGCCUAUUUUCCUUCUGAGAUAUGGCACGUCUGAGGGAGAGGGAAAUGAAUACAACAGACACUGCUCACUAGAAAAAUCCCACAGUUCAGUGUCAGAGGAGCCAUAUAGGAAAGUUGAAAAUAUACAUAUGGACAUGCUUGAGGAAUAAACUACUAGUAAGCAAUGCCUUUGUUCCUCUUGUGACAAAUCUAACUUGUCCCGCCCCCUCACUGUAGUCUGUUAGGCAGAUGCGCUCUCUCGCUAAACUAUCAGUGAAAUUCAGUGGAUACACGCACAUCUUUCUGAGAGAGACAAGUGGUAAUCCAAUCACUCAUCACAUCUGCAUUUUCAUCUCUAGGUGUGGUGAACGUUUGAGAGCACUUAUCCUGAUGCUGAUAAAUGGGAAUAGACGAGCACAAUUUUGAAUAUAGAGUUCAGUUUUUAAUGAAAUAGUCUAGACUGUAAAGCAGUAUUUAACAUAGAAAUAACCUGUUAAAUUAAAAGUAGCUCAUAGGGCAAAUCUUGCACAAGAAUAUAUACCAAUAACUUUAGAUUGUGUCCACUUCUGAGUAUCAAAUCAUUAAUUCUCUCAAGUCUUACUGCCAGAGGCCUUUUUUCUUUUCUGAACCUGGAGUGUUCUAUAAUGAUUCUAGAUGGAGAGGUCAUUGUUUCUUUGCUUAGUUUCAAAGAAAAAUACUGAAGCUUAAGUGUACCUGGUACAACCCUUCAAAUUGACUAAAUGGGAUCAAGAAUGUGUCAAACUCUGUGAAUGGUAAUCGCUAUGUAUUUUUGGAAUGUAACAUCAGUUACAACUCCUCAUAUUCUAAUACUGAAGCAGUCGGACAGAAACCUCCCAGGAUACUUGCACUGUCAGGUUAUGGUAUGUAACACUUAGCACAAACAUUAAAAAGAUGCUGGAUGAGUCAUUAUUGGGUACUUUAUUGGUACUAGUGGAUA